rnacentral:rRNA from 1 species
AACGAACGCUGGCGGCGGGGUUUAGGCAUGCAAGUCGAGCGAGAAAGGGGAAACCCGAGUAAAGCGGCGUAAGGGUGAGUAAUAGGUAGCUCACGUAUCCUCCAGAUGCGGAUAAUUCCCCGAAAGGGGUUGUAAUACGCGAUGAGACCACGCGGGAUCCGUCCUGUGAGGUCAAAGGUUCGGGAUCCUUCGGGACCGAGCGCUGGUGGAGCGGACGACCUCCGAUUAGCUAGAUGGCGGGGUAACGGCCCACCAUGGCGAUGAUCGGUAGCCGGCCUGAGAGGGUGUUCGGCCACACUGGGACUGAGACACUGCCCAGACUCCUACGGGAGGCUGCAGUCGCGAAUCAUUCACAAUGGGCGCAAGCCUGAUGAUGCCACGCCGCGUGCGGGAUGAAGGCCCGUUU